GAUGGACGCUGGCGGCGUGCCUAAUACAUGCAAGUCGAGCGAACAGACGAGGAGCUUGCUCCUCUGACGUUAGCGGCGGACGGGUGAGUAACACGUGGAUAACCUACCUAUAAGACUGGGAUAACUUCGGGAAACCGGAGCUAAUACCGGAUAAUAUAUUGAACCGCGUGGUUCAAUAGUGAAAGACGGUUUUGCUGUCACUUAUAGAUGGAUCCGCGCCGCAUUAGCUAGUUGGUAAGGUAACGGCUUACCAAGGCAACGAUGCGUAGCCGACCUGAGAGGGUGAUCGGCCACACUGGAACUGAGACACGGUCCAGACUCCUACGGGAGGCAGCAGUAGGGAAUCUUCCGCAAUGGGCGAAAGCCUGACGGAGCAACGCCGCGUGAGUGAUGAAGGUCUUCGGAUCGUAAAACUCUGUUAUUAGGGAAGAACAAAUGUGUAAGUAACUAUGCACGUCUUGACGGUACCUAAUCAGAAAGCCACGGCUAACUACGUG
rnacentral:rRNA from 1 species